GUCCUUUAAGACCGUCUUUGUCGAGCAAGCGUCGGUUCUACAAGUACCGGUACACGUCCAAGAAGAAGGCUUUCAAUAAAAAACUGGCAAACCGCCAAAAACCCAACUAAAGUCGCGUCGCUUCGGGACCGUUUCGUGGAGGAAUAAACCGUUUAGGUCUCAUCCACCUGUCGAACAAACACACCUUUCACCCUAGGGGACCGAGUUUCCGGCGGCCAUGUUGGCUAGUUGGGACCUGUUAUUCUUCCUAAAGAAUUAACUGCUUCAAGUCAUCAAGGAGACAGCAGAGUUUCCGGCAGCCAUGUUGCGGACAAGUUGGAGCUGUAUCUGUCUUCCUAAUGGAUUAACUCCUUGUUGAGAUGCUUCAAGAUGCUUUUGCUUCACUUCAAUAAGAUCCCAACCUGAUCCAGCAUCUGUGGGAUGAUCCAGAACAAGAAGAUCCACAGGAGGCCCCCACUUUGCAACCCACAGGACCCGAAGGAUCCACUGCCAACGUCCUGAUGCCAGACCCUAACCCCGACAGCAGUCCUGCUGUGUUUCUGACAGUCCUGACACCGAGGCAUCGUGAGAACACGAGUUAAACCUGCCGUCCUGUCUCGUCUCUGACGGAGGCCUCAAGAGUCAGAAAAAAGUGGAUCGACUUUGAAUUUGGAGAAAUUCCCUUAAGGUGUUGCUGAGAUAUUGUGGUCACAAGAGUGGGACGGACGAAUGACUGGACAGAUGGACGAACAGAUGACCCGAAAACAUAAUACCUAUGGCCACAGCUGUCGAUGGUAAGAAAACCAUAAAUUAGCAUGGUUUUCCCUUGUGCCCUCUUGUGGCCAUUUGACGGUACUGCAGUGCUACUCCAUUGUACAUGCAGUACUGCUGAACAGAGUUGCGUGUCCAGAGUUGCGUGUUAAAAUCCACGGCAGACAGACAAAAUAAAAACACUGAUGAGGCCUCAGUGCCUGUGGAGGAUCAGCGUUUUGACAAUCCUGGCACCAAAACAAGCCCACAGUGGGCUGGCAGCUGUACCCAGAUGAAUAUUAGCUCUGUGCUCUGGAUUUCUAAUAUUUCACCCUGGAGAGCUGCAGUUGUCUCUGAUCCAGAGAUUUUAAGACA